GAAAUGCGAUAAGUAAUGUGAAUUGCAGAAUUCAGUGAAUCAUCGAAUCUUUGAACGCAACUUGCGCUCCUUGGUAUUCCUUGGAGCAUGCCUGUUUGAGUAUCAUGAAAUCUUCAAAGUAAAUCUUUUGUUAACUCAAUUGGUUUCUACUUUGGUAUUGGAGGUCUUUGCAGCUUCACACCUGCUCCUCUUUGUUCAUUAGCUGGAUCUCAGUGUUAUGCUUGGUUCCACUCGGCGUGAUAAGUUAUCUAUCGCUGAGGACACUGUAAAAGGUGGCCAAGGUAAAUGCAGAUGAACCGCUUCUAAUAGUCCAUUGACUUGGACAAUCCUUUUAUGAUCUGAUCUCAAAUCAGGUAGGACUACCCGCUGAACUUAAGC
rnacentral:misc_RNA from 1 species